CUACGGGGCGCUGCAGUGGGGAAUAUUGCACAAUGGAGGAAACUCUGAUGCAGCAACGCCGCGUGGAGGAUGACACUUUUCGGAGCGUAAACUCCUUUUAUAUAGGAAGAAGAUGACGGUACUAUAUGAAUAAGCGCCGGCUAACUCCGUGCCAGCAGCCGCGGUAAUACGGAGGGCGCAAGCGUUACUCGGAAUCACUGGGCGUAAAGAGCGUGUAGGCGGAUUAAAAAGUCAGAAGUGAAAUCCUAUAGCUUAACUAUAGAACUGCUUCUGAAACUCUUAAUCUAGAAUAUGGGAGAGGUAGAUGGAAUUUCUGGUGUAGGGGUAACAUCCGUAGAGACCAGAAGGAAUACCGAUUGCGAAGGCGAUCUACUAGAACAUUAUUGACGCUGAGACGCGAAAGCGUGGGGAGCAAACAGGAGUAGAUACCCCAGUAGUC
rnacentral:rRNA from 1 species